rnacentral:tRNA from 1 species
GAGGGGAUGGCUCAGUGGUAGAGGGCCUGCCGAGCAUGCACGAGGUCCUGGGUUCAAUCCCCAGUACCUCCA